rnacentral:tRNA from 1 species
GCCCCAGUAGCUCAGUGGAUAGAGCACCGGUUUCCUAAACCGUUGGUCGGAUGUUCAAGUCAUCUCUGGGGCGCCA